rnacentral:rRNA from 1 species
AGUGAACGCUGGCGGUAGGCCUAACACAUGCAAGUCGAACGGCAGCACAGUAAGAGCUUGCUCUUACGGGUGGCGAGUGGCGGACGGGUGAGGAAUACAUCGGAAUCUACUUUUUCGGGGGGGAUAACGUCGGGAAACUUACGCUAAUACAGCAUACGACCUACGGGUGAAAGCAGGGGAUCUUCGGACCUUGCGCGAUUGAAUGAGCCGAUGUCGGAUUAGCUAGUUGGCGGGGUAAAGGCCCACCAAGGCGACGAUCGGUAGCUGGUCUGAGAGGAUGAUCAGCCACACUGGAACUGAGACACGGUCCAGACUCCUACGGGAGGCAGCAGUGGGGAAUAUUGGACGAUGGACGCAAGCCUGAUCCAGCCAUACCGCGUGGGUGAAGAAGGCCUUCGGGUUGUAAAGCCCUUUUGUUGGGAAAGAAAAGCAGCAGGUUAAUACCCCGCUGUUCUGACGGUACCCAAAGAAUAAGCACCGGCUAACUUCGUG